GCCUGGGUGGCUCAGUUGGUUAAGUGUCUGACUUCGGCUCAGGUCAUGAUCUCACAGUUCGUGAGUUCGAGCCCCACGUCGGGCU
rnacentral:tRNA from 1 species